CUUCAGCCAACCCGAGCUCCUUCUCUCUUUUGGCUCCUCUAAAAUUCUCCAAAUAUGAAGAACUUAAAUGAAAAUCCAACAUUUUCCAGAUGGCUUCCUCAAACACAAUAAUUAAUCCAUUUCCCUAGGUGCCUUGCCUGCUUCCAGACUCCAGCUGUUUACUCCCUCUAUCCAGGCUGCCAUCCUUUUAGAGCUUUCUGAGUGGAGUUCCCUCCUGUAGACCUCAGGCUUUUGUCUCCAAGGCUCAGCUCAGAUCUAUCUGACACAAAUCCUUUGUGUGAGCUUUUCUGGUUUCCAUCUGUGCCUGGAGCUACUUUGCCUUCCCAGACCAUGGAACUGUCUAUUCUCCUGCUCUGGUAUUGCCUCACUGCUGCUUGGAUCAAGCUGUGCUCCCAUGUGCAGACUGUCUGAGAUUGGGAGUAGAAGUUACUUUAUGAAAACCAGGUAUGGAAACUGAACUUAACUAAGCACAACCAUCAGAUGAGCACCAGAAUUGGCACAGGAUUGAGAGAGCCAGAAAGAGAAGUUCAGGGUCAAACAGUGACACAUUCCAGCUGCUGUGCCAGUGCCUCAGCUGCUGUUGGCAGCCACACUGCCAGCACAAAGGGCCUGUACGGGUAUCCGUGACUGUCACUGAAUAAAAAAGCACUUUCAGUUGAUUCCAUCAU